rnacentral:ncRNA from 1 species
UGUGUGGUGUCAGGCGCGAAAGUGGUCUGAUGGCGACACAGCCUGAAUGAGGU